GGACCCGCACAAGCAGCGGAGCAUGUGGUUUAAUUCGAAGCAACGCGAAAAACCUUACCAAGACUUGACAUCGCAUGAUCGCCAUAGAAAUAUGGUUUCUCUUCGGAGCAUGCAGACAGAUGGUGCAUGGUUGUCGUCAGCUCGUGUCGCGAGAUGUUGGGUUAAGUCCCAAAACGAGCGCAACCCUUGUUGUUAGUUGCCAAUAUUAAGUUAGGAACUCUAGCGAGACUGCCGCGGUAACGUGGAGGAAGGAAGGGACGACGUCAAAUCAUCAUGCCUCUUACGUCUUGGGCUACACACGUGCUACAAUGGCCAUAACAAAGAGCAGCAAUAUAGCGAUAUUGAGCAAAUCUCAUAAAAAUGGUCUCAGUUCGGAUUGUAGGCUGCAACUCGCCUACAUGAAGUCGGAGUUGCUAGUAAUCCCGAAUCAGAACGUCGGGGUGAAUGCGUUCCCGGGUCUU
rnacentral:rRNA from 1 species